rnacentral:rRNA from 1 species
UACGUAGGUGGCAAGGCGUUGUCCGGAUUUACUGGGCGUAAAGAGCGCGCAGGCGGUCGGAUCAGUCGAAUGUGAAAGCCCCCGGCUCAACUGGGGAGGGUCAUUCGAUACUGUCCGACUCGGAAGGCAGGAGAGGGGAAAGCGGGAAUUCCCGGUGUAGUGGUGAAAUGCGUAGAUAUCGGGAGGAACACCAGUGAGAAGGGCGGCUUUCUGGCCUGUUCUUGACGCUGAGGCGCGAAAGCUGAGGGAGCGAACGGGGGAUUAAGAU